AAACUCCGGCCAGAUAAGGAGUACCAAGAAGCAGGAUGAGAUACCUCAUUUUCCCCUUAAAGGACCACUCGGGAGACCAAUCUUCUGCGUACACUCGGAACGGAUCAGACCUCAGAAAGCUUUUGAAGUCCUCAAUCAACCAGGUGUAGACGAUCGCAGACCCAGUCCAAGGAAUCCUAAAUCCCCGACGACACCUUGGCCUUUCCAAAGGAGGGGCACGCACCUCGAAGCAGGAUCAUCCAUGACGCCGGGGGAGAUGAUCUCUAAACCCCCCAAGGUCCCGAAGAAAAUAGCUAUCAUUAUAGAAUCCCUGGGGCAAGCUCAACCUACGAGCAAUGCAAGGACCCAUAGGUCAUAAGAGAACCCGAUAAGCCCUGGGAGAAAACUAGUAGUGAAACCACUUGUAGUAUUCGAUCCCCGACGGACUAUCCCUCAGACAAUGAAAGGAGGAACCCUCUCUUCAUUGAGCACAACCCCUAGGCUCAUCAUCCAAGGAAACGCCAAGCUGUCGGCCUGGGACCAACCCAACUGAUGGCACACGGCCAGGAGCCAUGAUGAACAAGCUGAGACGGGGAUCUCCCAACAAGGGGACGAGGUUCUACGACAGGAAAGAGUCCACGAGCUAUCAAAAAGCAAAGGUAAAACGUAGUCUACCUAUUUGGAACACCUUGCAACCAACUAUUCUAUAUUAGGAUCUCCAGAUCUCGAUUUAUAUUACUCUAUUAUCUAUUGUUUAAGCAUUUUGGUUUCCUACUUAUAUGUAUGCUAAGAGUCUCCAGACAAAGCUUAUAUAAUGAAAUAGUUCCGACUAUAAAAGUUGUAGGAAAGCCACAAUACUUAAAGGGGCAUAUAGGGCUGGAUCAGGUUCCACGAAACCUUCGAAUCCCAGCUCAGCCUCACUGAUACGUGGUAUUUCCACGUGAAAACAAAUGGGUAUGAGACAUAAAGCAGGAAUGGGUCUGCGCAAACCUGAGUAUGCUGUCGAUACUACCUAAAACCCAUGUAUAGCCUAAGACAUAUCGGGGUCCCCAAAAAUCAUACGCGCAAGUAGCUGUAUUAAAACGCUCCAGGCUAUACGAUACAUGGGACACUAUAUAAAAGUGCCAAAGUACUGUGACAUACAGGGAGCACUCGACUGCUUGACCAGACGUGGAGAGUGGUAAAGUCUGGCACUUAGAUUUUCAUCCACACCAGUAAAACUUUAAUAAGUCUGAUAGUGGCUUCUGCAGAGGCAGCAUGCAGCACAGGAACUCGAUAGUGACCAGUUUCUGAGCGGUAGAAUGCGAAAUCCCAACAGGUACCGGUAGUAGUCUCUCCUAGGGAGGCGGAAUACGGUCCAUGCAAAACCAUAAUUCCGGGUUAAUACGAAACCCGGGUCCAGGCCCACGCGUCCUAUAACAAAACUUUCACGAGAAAUCCCAAGAACUCUCGAAAUCUUGAAAGACCUCAGGGUCCAAAUACCUAUAAACUACGGACCCAAGGUCCAUAGUCAUGCUAGGAUUCCAGGGGUCGGUCCCAGGAACCCAUAAACUUCAGGGUCCAAGGCCGACCGGAUCCCCGAAUUCUCCAAAAAGCCACACGGCCCCAAGGAAUAAGGAGUGAUUCCCACCAAGAAACGAUUCAACACGCACGAAAGGAGUCAAAAGCAACAAUCUCUUAAAAAGGGACCGCAAAGGAUCAACGUUCAAAAUAGUAGAAGACAUUACUCAAAAGAAAAAAUCUCAAAACACCAGCAUAAAAAAAAAGGCGUCUCUAAACGUUCAAAAAGAUGGAUCUCCCGAGUAUCGCGAUCCCGCUGCAGAUCCCGAGGUAGCUGCUUGAACCGGUCCUCUAGUCAUCAGCUGGUCAACUCCUUCAGCCCAGAAUAGGUAACGGCGAUAUUCUUCUUUCGGAUUCCUGUGAUCCACUUUCUUCUCUAGCCACUCCUUCAUAAGCUCCCAUCUAGCCGUAGCUCUCGCCCGGAGGACUGAUUGGUCCCUAUAGAACGCCAUACCCCGCACUUGGUUACGAAGGAAAAACAAUUCGGUGAGCAAUCUCAGAUGAACAGCCAUAGGAGAGAUACGAGCGGGUGGAGCUUCAGUACCAGCCGGAGGAACAAAAGAAGGACCAGAGACCGACGAAGCAGCUCUAACCAAUCUUGGGGGAGGAGUAUAAAAGGGUCGUCUCUUUCGGGUCUUUGCCUUUUGAUACUCAUCAUAGAUAAUCGAAACCGGAAGCCUCGCAACGUUCCCUGAAGAAAGACAGCACGAAAAAUUAGAAGAAAGAAUUGCAGCAAGAAAAAAACAAAGAACGGAAUCUCACCCCACACACGACUAUGGCGUAGAGCCUCCUUGUUCAUCAGGAAGUUCACCCACCGGAACCAUUGAGGAACUCCCAACACGAGCUUCGCCACUACCUCCCCGAUGAAAGACACUGGACGAGCUACAUCUGUCAUCAUAAUAAAACAUCAGUUCCGGACAAGCGGCAAAAACAAGACGAAGAAGGUAACUUACCCACGGCAUGCCAAAACGAAGGAUAUGGAGACGAUCCUGGAAUCUUCACAAAUAAAUACCGUUUGUCCCAAUCGUCUCCAAAGGGAUAGUUACCCUUGAUUCCCCUUGAAGGCUCCUCUACCAAAGGAGUACCAUCGCGAGACCGAAGGUGAUAGAAUCCCGGCUUGCUCACCAAUGGAGCAAAAUAGUAGAAGUACAAGAUCUCAUGUACUCCAACGACAAAGCCAUGAAAUUCCCCCAAGAACUUGAAUAGCCAUUAGAGUUCUCCAGGUCAGGGGAGUAAGCUGAGAAUGACCGAAGCCAAAAAAUGAAGUCACCUCGGCAACGAUAGAGGGGACGCCAACUCGGAAACCUGCCUCCAGAUACCCUUCAUAGAUAGCUAUCUCAUCAGAUCCUCCAUCCGGAGCCCGUUCAAACUCGGAAGGACAUCUCAUCACCACCGAGGGAGGAAUCGCAAACUUCUUUUGGAUAUUGAUAAGGCUCUCCUCCUGGAUCUCGGAACGUGGGCCAUCAUCGAGGAAGUAGGAGCAACGCUGCCUCAGGGGUGCCAUCGGAACUGCCUCAUUAUCAGCUUCCGAAAUCUCUCCCCAGACGGAGUUAGGAGAUGAGAAAGGGUCGGCGGAGAGACGACGCGGUCUUGUACGUCCACCCACGAACGAAGACGGGAAAGCUGAGGUAUUGGGAUUCAUCUCAGAAGAUUAGAAGCUCAAGACGGGUUGGAGCUACUCGAAUGCGUUGCAAAUCUUUAUAUACACCAAGUUUAUCUUCCCCUAGAGCUGAAAAGAGGAAAUAUUCAUAUUGUCCGAUAUUCUGAAGGAUCCUCAAAAGUGGCCAGGCCUGGAAGAAAAGGAAAGGACGAUCUUCGCGAAAAAGGAAUACGCCGCGAGAAAGGAUUAAAGGCCGGAGAUGUCCUCUUCAAGAUAUCGGAUCUCAAGAAUCUCCGGAAGAGAUCAUCGAAACUCCAGACUCUGUCCUCCAUGGCAGAUUCAAAGAACCUGAAGAAACACUACCAAGGCUGGGUCCUCUACAGAGAAACCGUCUCUCACUUGGGUCAGAAGAAGAAAUUCCAGCCUACGAAGAACCCAAAAGAUGAGAGCUCCUGGAACGCUGUCCUGCCCGAGGGAUACCUGCUGAGAGCAACCCCAGUUGACUUGAGUGCACAGGUUAUUCCCCGAAAUCGAUGACGAAAUCGAAAAAUAAGGGGCAAACUGUUGGGGAAAAAUACUCAGGUAUCAUUUUCCUCCGAGCCCCAGGCAGGACCCUGAUCUCCGGAUCCCCGUUCCAGAAACGUUAUGGGUCCCCAGUAUCGAGUACCCCGGUAUCGGUUCCAGGAACCGCCUCCAGCUCCAAGAAAAGGCAAAUUGCCGAUAAGGGGAAUCUUCCAUAUUUCCGAAUAUGGAAGACUUCCAUCUACUCCAACCGACAAGAACCGACCUAUAGACGACUAUAUAAAGGGGACCCAAACCCUAGAAUAAGGUAUCGACACUUUUAGGCUUAUAGAUUAUACUUAGACGGCUAGGGUUAGGGUUCAUAACAAAAAUACUUGUAAUCCUUGCUUGUCUACUCAAUAAUGAUCUCUUCAAGUCUCUUUUUCUCUAAUCUCUCAUAAACCCUUACGAAAUACCUAUAAAUCUAUAUGAAACCCAGCUUAUCCAUCGUUUCGUAGUACUCUAAAAGAUCCUACACAAAAAUUCCCUAACAGUAUCCAUAUUCAUUGUGUCCAUCAUAGCUUCACGGUGUAUCGCCUCGAAAUCAGAAGGAGGGUCCGAGUCGACAACUCGCGCAGGACUCGAUUCAGUCGCCACCGCCUUUCCUUUCUGUUCUUUGAAAAGUCUACCGCCCGACGACAUGACAAGAUUCUCGAAAUCUAUGACUAAAAGGCUAGAGAGAGAAGCAGAGAGAAAGAGAGAGAAAGUACCUGAGUCAGAUGAAGAAUGAAGAAAAUGAAAGGCGAGAAGGGUAUUUAUAAGAAGGAAGCGCCGCACGCCCCGAGGCGUCAUCAUUAGGUCUAGAUGAGCCCAUUUAGGCGCGUGAACUUCACAUCGUCUCGCGACGAUUCGACUUCUCGAGGUAAACCAAGACCGGUUUGGACAGAGAUUAGCUGUUAUGACUAAAACCAAAGAAAACUGUCAGUCAGACCAAACCGGUGAAAUCACGAGUCACAACAAGCAAGCCACGCAUCCGAUCGAAGAGUCGAGUGAGAUCACGAGUCCAGAACAUCAAUCCUUCAGACCUUACUUCCAAAUUCACUGAGUCGGCUACGCUACUCACCAGUGAACUGGGGGAACUUACUGUUGGGUAUGGGUCUGACCCUCCCAAAAGGCCCACAGAAUGAUUUUCCUAACACAUGACCAUAUAGGAGAGACUCGGCGUGUCGACUCGCGAGGGACCGAUCGGCUCGACUUAAGACUGCUUUUAGCCGACAAAGCGAGCGACUAGAAGCAGUCGACACGAUGACUCGAAGCAGCGGCCCAACAGCUCGGUCCAAUCGACGAAAAGGCCCAUUAGGUCAAGACGAAUUAGGUUAACAAACUACCGCCUAUAAAAGGAGGGAGAGAGGCAACGAGGAAGGGAUCCGCAAAUCACUACACACUUACUUUCAGCUAGAAACUAGGGUUUCAUUUCUCUAUUCUCGUCGAAUUGUAUUCUCCGGCGAACUAGCUUUCGCCGGCUUGUUUCCCUUUUUCUUCCCUCUUUUGUAACUCGACUGAGCAAUCUCUUGAUCUAAUAAAACGCCUUUGUUUUGACCCACCGACGAGUCCUCGUCUCCUUUCAUUCACUGGUUUAUCGACAGUUCUCGGUUCAAACAGAACCGAUGUAAUUAAAAAAAAGAAGAUAUAUAGACAGUAAAGAACCGAUUGGCACAUACGAUACUUAAUAUUAAUACGUAUUCACAAAAGACAGAAUUUUCUAAUUUAUUAAUUUAUGGUCUAUUUAAAUUUUACCUUAACAUAUUUUUAAUUUAAAUUUAUUAAAUAUAUUUUGACUAGAUAUAAAGACAAGCUUCUUAUACAAUUUUAUAUUGGCUCAAAUCUUCAAAAUUUUAAUCUAUGUAUUUAUAUUUGUAAUGAUUUCAUUAAUGUUAAUUUAGUUUUUAACGUAGUUUUAUCUAGAGAGCUUUGUUUCAUUGGUUGUUAUCCAAACCAUUUCAAAUUUGAGUAAUAAAAUAUUUGUUCAUUGUCAAGAAAAAAAAUAUAGUUUUACCUUAUGUUCAAAAACGCGCCCGUCUAGACGUUUAUUCGCCUGAUUAAAUGGUGGUCGGAAGGCUGCCAUGGUGAGGAAGAGGUAUUCGCUGGUUCUAGGCACUGAAACAAAAAAACUUUCAAAAAUCGAAAUUUCAACGCUAAAUAUGUGUUUAUCUCAUGAAUCUACUAUAUAUGGCUGAAAUUCACAAGAAUUAGUUGUAAAUACUAUGAAAUCGUGAGAAAAAAAAUGAAGAAGAAGAUAUUUGAGAUCUGGAAAACGCAAGGAAGAGGUUGAAGAUAAGAGUAAAAUUGUAUUUUCUCAUUCAUUAAACUAAAAUUAUAAAAAAAUGAUGCAAAUUGCAUCGUUGCCUACUUGAACUCGAGUCCCUAUAUACAGGUUGACAAGAACACGGACCACUAGAAUGUGUUAUCUAAAUAAUUAUUCUUCGCAUACUUAAUAUAUUAGCCUAAAACUUGGCGCCGAGUACACCCAGCUUAAAUCCAGAUUUUUUGGUUACUGGCUAGGCCCAUGGUUCCCGAUUCAUAAGAUUUAGUUUUGACGGCUGUAGUUUUAUCUAAUCAUUAGAUUAAACCUAUUUGUGUUUCCUCAAGCUUACUGUCGCCGGAGCUUGCGUCAAAAACCUCUAAGCAGUGUAAAAAAAAAAAGGUAAUCUUAUGUGUUUCUGUGAUUUCUAAUUUUGUGAAUCUUAUGAAUACUAAAUUGGAUUGGAAUUUAUUAUGAUGGUUGAAUCAUGUGGAGAGGUGAGAGAGUAAUGAAGGUGAGAUGGGGUUAAACCAUAACUGUGCAAUAAAAAUUGAGCAUUCUGAAAGAGUUCAUGUGAUUGCAGUUACCAAACCAAACUGCACCGCCAAUUGCCAAGAAUGUGUAUUCUUUUGGAAAGUCAAUUAGCAUCCUCUUGGCUGUUAGUGUCGGUGACAACCGCAAACUACAUGUGAAGCGUCUCUCUCAGAUUGGGCGGUGAAGCGUCUCUCUAAAAUUGGGCGGGGGGGGGGUUAAUUUUCAAGUUUGAUAUCAGGCUGCAUACGCAACUCUUUUAUCAUGUUCUGAUAUUAAGCUGAAUUAAGUAACGAGACCACAUAUUUUAAAGCUUUAGUUAGGUUAUAUCUUUUGUGCUGAAAUUCUGUUAGACUCAUGAUCAUGUUAACUGUUCAUGGUGUUUGAACAAUCGAACAUGCUCAUAGAUUCACUUAUUCAGUUGAGUUUAGUACAAAUAUUUUCUGAUGUGUUGUUUAUAGAACUUCUGACAUUGUUUGACACUGAUCUGUUUCAAGUAGCUCCAUUUCAUACGUUUUACUCACAUUUGUAUGAACACAUGACCGAGGUAAGUAUUAUGCCAACUAUCAAAAGAUGGAAUAAAUCCCUAGCACUUGAAGACAAUAUCUUAUACUAUUUUCUGUUAGAGCUGAGUUAAAUUAAAAGUGUGUAGAAGAAGAAAUUUAAGGAUGAAGAUGCUCAGGAAGUCAAAAGAUUUCAGUAUGAAGAUGGUCAGGAAGAACCCUUUGAACUAAGCUUUGUUGUUUGAUUACGUUUGGCUACUAGUGACUGAUGGGAACAAAGAUAAGAUUCGACAAACAUAAGAGAGUCCUAUUGAUAAUGUUCUACUUGCCAAACAGAAACAUAUUGGCAAAGAUACAUAGGUCAAAAAUAUUUUACUGAGGAAGUGAAACAAAGCUUGGGGUAAUCAAAAAUAUUUUACUGAAGCAGCCAAGACAAAAAAAAUGAACCUCUUCUUGAGCAUGUAGACAUUAAUUUUCGCUCUUCUUGAGCAUGUAGACAUUAAUUUUCGUGCACUUGUGUUAUAACUGUUGAUACAGUUUGUUCACUUCCCUUUCAUUAAAACAACUAGCCACAAUUGUAAGGAUAUAGUGAUGAUUGGUUUUUGGAUUACCGAAGAUUUAAUCUAUUACGUAUUUGAGAUUAUUUAGAAUAUCGAAACCUUGAAAUAAUGUGAAUUGUAGUUUUGCCUACCUUUGACUAAUGUUUGAUAAUUUUAUUGAACAAAAUAAGAUAAAUGAUUAGUUCAUAUUUCUUAUUGACAUGUCUUUAUCUCUAAAAAAUACACAAUUUAAUUAAUACUAAAUAUUGAUUCCCCCUUUAAAGGUGCAAAAUUAUUUUGUAUAUAAACAAUUUCAAUAUUUUUAUGUUUAUGUAGUAGAAACUCUAUAAAUCAAUACUCAUAAAUUAAUAAACAUUAUAAACUAAUAAAUUUCUCUGAUCUCGAGUUGAACCGGUUCAAAAUAUGACACAUAUCGAUAAGAUAAUAACUUCUUAGAAAAAAUUAUGCACACAUAUUGUUCCUUUAAAAUAAAAAACCAAUAAUUUUGUAUAUAUACAUUAUAUAUAUAUAUACAAACAAACAAUUGUAUUGUUUGCUUAAUAUUCACAGUAAAAUUAUCUAUAUAUUUUCUUAAUACUUCAAUAUAUUUUGCAAAUAUUUAAUAAAAUUAUAUCUAAACCAUAUUUAAAUUUUAUAUUCACCAAAUAACACAAUAAAAUAAUAUAAAUAUUGAAUUUAAAAAAUGUAAUUAAUGUAUAUACCGUAAAAAAAUAUUAUUUUUUUCUUUUAAAAACUAUUUUAAAAUUAAAAAAAAUGAAAUAGCUGAUAUUUAAUAUUAAUUUUCAAGUUUGAUAUCAGGCUGCAUACACAACUCUUUUAUCAUGUUCUGAUAUUAAGCUGAAUUAAGUAACGAGACCACAUAUUUUAAAGCUUUAGUUAGGUUAUAUCUUUUGUGAUGAAAUUCUGUUAGACUCAUGAUCAUGUUAACUGUUCAUGGUGUUUGAACAAUCGAACAUGCUCAUAGAUUCACUUAUUCAGUUGAGUUUAGUACAAAUAUUUUCUGAUGUGUUGUUUAUAGAACUUCUGACAUUGUUUGACACUGAUCUGUUUCAAGUAGCUCCAUUUCAUACG